CCUACGGGGCGCAGCAGUGGGGAAUAUUGCACAAUGGGGGAAACCCUGAUGCAGCAACGCCGCAUGAGUGAAGAAGUAUUUCGGUAUGUAAAGCUCUAUCAGCAGGGAAGAAAAUGACAGUACCUGACUAAGAAGCCCCGGCUAACUACGUGCCAGCAGCCGCGGUAAUACGUAGGGGGCAAGCGUUAUCCGGAUUUACUGGGUGUAAAGGGAGCGUAGACGGCUGCGCAAGUCAGAAGUGAAAGCCCGGGGCUCAACCGCGGGACUGCUUUGGAAACUGUGUAGCUAG
rnacentral:rRNA from 1 species